AGACUGCAUUCAGUGAAACCAAAGCAACAGUCCGAGCAGCUUUCAGAAUGACAGUCUGCAGAAGUGAGCUGAGCGUGUGCGCGGUACGGGGCUCUCCUGCCUUCUGGGCUCCAACGCAGCUCUGUGGCUGAACUGGGUGCUCACCACGGGAACUGCUGGGCUAUGGAAUACAGAUGUGGCAGCUCAGGUAGCCCCACAUUGCCUGGAGGAAUACAUCAUGUUUUCCGAUAAGAAGAAAUUGUAGGAGCUAGUUUUUUUUUUUUUUAACCGUCCCCCCGCCCCCCAAAAAACUGUAAAGAUGCAAAAACGUAAUAUCCAUGAAGAUCCUAUUACCUAGGAAGAUUUUGAUGUUUUGCUGCGAAUGCGGUGUUGGGAUUUAUUUGUUCUUGGAGUGUUCUGCGUGGCUGGCAAAGAAUAAUGUUCCAAAAUCGGUCCAUCUCCCAAGGGGUCCAAUUUUUCUUCCUGGGUGUCAGCGAGCCCUGACUCACUACAGUGCAGCUGACAGGGGCUGUCAUGCAACUGGCCCCUAAGCCAAAGCAAAAGACCUAAGGACGACCUUUGAACAAUACAAAGGAUGGGUUUCAAUGUAAUUAGGCUACUGAGCGGAUCAGCUGUAGCACUGGUUAUAGCCCCCACUGUCUUACUGACAAUGCUUUCUUCUGCCGAACGAGGAUGCCCUAAGGGCUGUAGGUGUGAAGGCAAAAUGGUAUAUUGUGAAUCUCAGAAAUUACAGGAGAUACCCUCAAGUAUAUCUGCUGGUUGCUUAGGUUUGUCCCUUCGCUAUAACAGCCUUCAAAAACUUAAGUAUAAUCAAUUCAAAGGGCUCAACCAGCUCACCUGGCUAUACCUUGACCAUAACCAUAUCAGCAAUAUUGACGAAAAUGCUUUUAAUGGAAUACGCAGACUCAAAGAGCUGAUUCUUAGUUCCAAUAGAAUCUCCUAUUUUCUUAACAAUACCUUCAGACCUGUGACAAAUUUACGGAACUUGGAUCUGUCCUAUAAUCAGCUGCAUUCUCUGGGAUCUGAACAGUUUCGGGGCUUGCGGAAGCUGCUGAGUUUACAUUUACGGUCUAACUCCCUGAGAACCAUCCCUGUGCGAAUAUUCCAAGACUGCCGCAACCUGGAACUUUUGGACCUGGGAUAUAACCGGAUCCGAAGUUUAGCCAGGAAUGUCUUUGCUGGCAUGAUCAGACUCAAAGAACUUCACCUGGAGCACAAUCAAUUUUCCAAGCUCAACCUGGCCCUUUUUCCAAGGUUGGUCAGCCUUCAGAACCUUUACUUGCAGUGGAAUAAAAUCAGUGUCAUAGGACAGACCAUGUCCUGGACUUGGAGCUCCUUACAAAGGCUUGAUUUAUCAGGCAAUGAGAUUGAAGCUUUCAGUGGACCCAGUGUUUUCCAGUGCGUCCCAAAUCUGCAGCGCCUCAACCUGGAUUCCAACAAGCUCACAUUUAUUGGUCAAGAGAUUUUGGAUUCUUGGAUAUCCCUCAAUGACAUCAGUCUUGCUGGGAAUAUAUGGGAAUGCAGCAGAAAUAUUUGCUCCCUUGUAAACUGGCUGAAAAGUUUUAAAGGUCUAAGAGAGAAUACAAUUAUCUGUGCCAGUCCCAAAGAGCUGCAAGGAGUAAACGUGAUCGAUGCAGUGAAGAACUACAGCAUCUGUGGCAAAAGUACUACAGAGAGGUUUGAUCUGGCCAGGGCUCUCCCAAAGCCGACGUUUAAGCCCAAGCUCCCCAGGCCGAAGCAUGAGAGCAAACCCCCUUUGCCCCCGACGGUGGGAGCCACAGAGCCCGGCCCAGAGACGGAUGCUGACGCCGAGCACAUCUCUUUCCAUAAAAUCAUCGCGGGGAGCGUAGCGCUUUUCCUGUCCGUGCUCGUCAUCCUGCUGGUUAUCUACGUGUCAUGGAAGCGGUACCCUGCGAGCAUGAAGCAGCUGCAGCAGCGCUCCCUCAUGCGAAGGCACAGGAAAAAGAAAAGACAGUCCCUAAAGCAAAUGACUCCCAGCACCCAGGAAUUUUAUGUAGAUUAUAAACCCACCAACACGGAGACCAGCGAGAUGCUGCUGAAUGGGACGGGACCCUGCACCUAUAACAAAUCGGGCUCCAGGGAGUGUGAGAUACCUUUAUCAAUGAAUGUGUCAACCUUUCUGGCAUACGACCAGCCCACAAUAAGUUACUGUGGGGUGCAUCAUGAACUUCUCUCCCAUAAGUCCUUUGAAACGAAUGCACAGGAAGAUACGAUGGAAACACACCUAGAGACUGAGCUGGACCUGAGCACAAUCACAACAGCUGGCCGAAUCAGUGACCAUAAACAGCAGCUAGCUUAACUGAGAUCACUGGUAGCCCAGGGUUGCUACCAAACUUUGUAACCUCAAGGACAAAAUGAGGAAGAUGUGUUCAUUGUGGACUCUAAAAACAAAGCAAAACACAAAAUCCCCUGUUCAAAUUAACAAAAAAUCCAAGAUUGAUUCAUGAAAUAAAGAAGACAUGAAUUGUUUUAAGUCUACACUUUGUAAUUAGCUAAGUUGUGCAGUAUUUUUUGACUUAAACAGAGUAUGACCCUGAAAAAUAAAAGAAUCUUUUUUUCAAAACUCAUCCUACCUACCUGUAAAAACUGUACAAAGCUAAUGUAUUUUUCAUAUUGUAAAGUUUCAAUUGUAGAAACAACUGGUAUGUACAGUACCAUAAUUUAAUUACAUUUUACUUUAAAAACUUUACACAUUUCAGUUUCUAAAAUUUUAAAUUAACAAAAAUUAUUUCUUGUGUUAUUCAGAGUUACUCAGUUUUGUAGGGACUGUUUUGUUACUGCUUUUGUGCCCAGAAACCUUGACUCUAAAAUUCUGUGCUGUGGGAAACAUGCACGAUUUUUAUUAUGCUUACUGCGUAGAAUUUUAUCUACUUGUUCCAGAAAUAAUACAUUAACCAAAAAGGAUUUAAUUGUUCAGACUUGUAAGAGGUUCUUCAAUUACAUAGACAGGUUUUUCUUAAAAAUGAAAAAAAAAAAAUCAAAGAUUUUUUUAACAGUUCUCAGACUUAACUGUUGCCUUGAAUUACAGCCUAGUUUCUAAGCAGUGAAAUGUAAUGAUAAAGAGGGAUAUUUUAACAUAUUUCCGAAUGAAUGAUUCAUUAUUUCAUUCUUUUGAGUAACCAUUGUUAAGGGUUGGGGGGAAGCAUGGACAAAACAUCACUGGAAACAAAGGCUGUAACCACAGCAACAGACUUUGUGAUACAGUUAAAAGGUGCAGCUACCAGUGACAAAUAAAAACUUUUGUUACAUCUCAUUAUUUUCAGGCCAAGGUGGGAGUAUAGUGCAUAAUAAUUGUACAGUAGCAAUUUUUCUCCUAAUUAACCCAUAGCCAUUUGCCUAAAAGUAACCAUCAGUCAGUGCAAAAUGUGCCUGGUUCUUAAGACAACUUUUUAUUUAGAACCAUGAGACCAGUAUUUUGGAAACAUUUCAAAGGAAACAUAUGAAUUUUUUUUUGCAUUGUGCACUACAUCAUUUCUCUCCUGAGGAAGAAUUUUUAACAUGUACAGCUCGUUCAAUAUUGAUAUGAGCCACGGUGCAGAACUUUAUCACUCGAGUAGACUGUAAACAUCCUUAGUAUGUUCUAAAUUGUUUAUAUUGCUAUCCAUAAUGGGAGUCACCUCCAAAUUAUCAAAGAAAUAACUCAGAGUAAUUUGACACCAGCCCAGAUCACAUAUUGAUUACACGAUUGUAUUAUAAAGUUAACUCAAAUCAAAUUAAGAAAACCUGAGUUUUGAGAAGCUGAAAUAAUCAACUUGUUUGUGCUGUUUGCUUGACAUAGGUUAUUGUUUGAAAAUAUUGUUACGUUAUCAAUAGUAAUCAGGCAUUCUUGUGUUUUUUUUUUAAAUGGAAAACUGCAAGUUUCAAUUACUGUUGCACUAGAAGUGCUUUUAUGUUGUCAUUUUAUAUUCAUGCCAUCAAAAGUAGAUUGGCAUAUCAAUCUAACAGGGGUCAAUGAAAACAAUGAAGAAAAGAAUAACUGAAAACAACAUCAAACUUUUAAAUUUUUAUCUCUUCCAAAGAAAUUAUAUCUACAAAAUCUAGUUUUAUGCAGGUUUGUCACAGCAAAUUUAAAAGCAGCUUCAAGAAGAAUGAACUCAAAAACUGUGGAGCAAAUUUUUGUGGAAAAUAUAUAAAGUCAGAAAGAAAAAAAGAUGUAAAUGUUGGAAGAAGCAAAUUCUAUUACUAAUUCAAAUGAAACUAAAUGUCAAACACAGUACUUGUGUCAACUAUUUAGCAUCCCAGAUUUUGUAACAUAUUUUGCAUAAAUUAUUUGCUAUUCAAAAAUUUUUGUCAUUUUAAAUCUAAUUUUAAUCUUUAUGUUUUCCAUUUUCUAAUUUCCUUGCAAUGUAUUAUUCUUAGAGUGUUCUUAAUUUUCUACAUUGAAAUUUGGCUUUACGUCGUUAGCAAAUUUAUAAAGGGUUAUAAAGCUAUAAUUUGUGAGUCUAAAAUCAAACGCAAAAUUUUAUUUAUUAUGUAAACCAAAAUGUCAUUUGCAAGCUUUCUCAUUAGAAGUUGUCCUUGCAAAGAUAGAAAAGGAAGAAUUAAUUUGUGUAAACAAGCACAAAUUAACAUAUUUGUUAAUAAAUAGGUUUAUCUACUAAUAAACCUAUUUCUAGAAACAUUCAAAUUGAUAAUGAUUUUUAGAAAUGUAAAGUUUCCAAGGAGUCUUACAAGUGUAUGCCCUUGAUUUCCUGAAGGAAACCACUUUCUUUCUUAAAUAUUUUACGUUCAUCUAAAGUGAAACACUAUAAAUAGAAGCAAUCCUUGGAACCACAGCUCUGUGCAACCAAGGCCCUAAGCUACACCAAACAAGCCAGGAAUUUUGAGACUUCUCAUCUUUAAAUUCAACCAAAAGGGUAUUUAACAAGACAAAAAUGCUGGAUUAUUAUUAUUAUUUUUGCUUAAUUUUUAUUCUGCCAUGUCCAGGUUAAGGGUGAGGGUGGUGACAAUCUGAUAGAAAGAUUGUGUCUGGAAUCUUUAUCACAUAUUUCCAAUUUAUUUCAGUUUUUGUCUAAAACUUGCAUUUCUAAUCUACCUUUUUCAGCAUUCAAUAAUCUUCCAUUUCCUCCUUCUACCCCCCAUUCCUAUGUCUCCCUUCCUGUCUAUUCCUCACCGAUUUAAACAACUGAAAUGUUUACUUAUGCUUGGAGUUGAAAAAUGGAGAGGUUGACUCAGCAUGGUUACAAUAACAACCAGCAGCUGCAGCAAACCAUAAAGUUAUACAGUGUUUUGAAGUUUACACAUCACAUUUUACAUAAAUUAUCUCAUUUUGUCUUCAUAACAACCCUAUGAAGACACAUUAAUCUCAAAGAAGUUGAGCCCUCACCCCAAAACACAGGGCUAAUAAUUGGUGCAGUUGAAUUAUUCUCAAAAUUUACAGGCUGUUAGUCUUUCCACUAUACUAAAAGCUUUCUUUCUCUGAUCAGAGCCAGAGAACUUCCAGAGAUAAUGGAUAGAAUGAAAGAAAAAAAAAUACAUAUAUAUAUAUAUGUAUUUUUUGACAUGUUGUUUAGUAAUCCCUACUUUAAUUCCAUUCUCCAUCUGUAAAAUAUUAGCUAACUGAAUUAUUUCUGUGUUCUACUAUGGGCUCUCACAUUAAAACUCUGUUCAAAAAGUUUAACAAGUCACAUAUUUCUUAACAUACAAGUUCAUUUGUAAAUGUACAGAACAGAUGCUCCCAAGAUGUGGAUGCAUGUAGGCCCCAAAGUACAGACAUAAAAUCAAGGAAGCACAAGGAAAGAAACCCCAAGGAAAAACCUAAAGACCUUCUAAAUUGAGACUGCAUAAGUAUAAAAGAGAUCCAUAGUACAGGGUUGAACACAUGCUCAAUACUUUGUCAACUGAACACAGGUUCAAUUCGGAGCUAAUUGGGAAGACAUAUAAAAUUCUUUUUCUUUUUUGCUUUUGGCAAGAUUUCUUCUUAAACCAUGAAUUUUUUUUAACUUGUAAUAAUAGAGAACAACUUUCUCUAUUCUCCUUAUAAGAAAAAUAAAAUAUAAUUUAUCCAAAUUGAUGUAUAGAACCUAAAACAUAUGCUAACUUGCAAAUAAUAUAUUUUACUGAUCAACUCAUUUUUGUCAAGUCUCUAUUUCUAGUCCCUCCUGAAUGUUUUAGAAAACCAUGAAACUAUACAGAUUUUUAAUACAAAUUACAUUUUUACAAGGAAAGAAAACAUUUCCAAAUUUAACACUCAAGACUAAUCACAUAAUCCUAAUUUGAACUCAGAUCUCUCUGACUCCAUAGACUGCUUAGAAAUAGUAAAAUCUUUUUGCAAAAAUAUUUUCUAAAAUAAAACUAUUGUAUAUGAGAGUAAAAAUAUAUUUGUUUUUGAUUGUUCCUCACUGGAAGACAGAUAUCAUCUCUCAAACUAAACAUUCAAAAUAAGAAACUGAAUGCAUGAAAACCAAUACCUGAUGUGAAUUGUUGUUAUUAAGCUGUAUGAAAGAAAUGCAGAUGUUCUGGGUAUGUCAGAGCACACAAAAGAAGAGGUUAUGGGACUGGCAAGUAUUUGGUCUCAGGAGAAAAGGUGAAAAUUUUCCAGAAUAGAUAUAGUAGCAUCUUAUAUUGGCACAGCUCUUAACAGUUUAUAAUGUUGGGUAAUAUAACAAUCUCCUAAUUCAUCAAAAAGUCUCAAGGUGCAGAUGAAUUGGUCUUGCAAUAAGGAAGAGCUUCCAACUCCUCCCAUGACCUUCCCAAUUUUCCCCAACUGUCCCUAAAUAGGGAGGUGCCAAGUGCAAAGGACCCAGGAGCAAUGCUUUCAAAAUUCUGAUUUGUCCCAAAGGUAGGGUACCUGGACAAUCAACAAUUGGGCUUCAUUUUAUCAUCAAUAUUAAUGGGAAAGAAACAUUUGAAAAUUUAAAACCAAGCAAACACACACACACAUCAAAGUGGUGGUGGGUCUUUUUUGAAGGUCUCUCAUGACUUGUAUUACAGUUUUAUUGUGAGAUGGGAGGCAACUUAUAUUUAAUUUCUUUAGGGUAAAAUUCACGUUUUAAAAGGUCCACUGUUGAUUUUUUUAUUCUAUGAAGGACAGUGAUCUUACAGCAGCAGAGUGCCUCAGCCAUCUAGGACUUAGGCUACUACGUUUCUUCCUCCUAGCUCUCAUUUAUAAAUUCGUGUUAUAUGAUAUUUGUCUUUCUGAAAAGGUGAGUGAAAAUUUGUUUUGUGUAAAUCAAAUAAUAUUUCAAAUGUAUCAAGAGACCUUGUGAUAAAGGAACCUUGAAAUUGUUUUCUAAUCUAAAAUAUUACCCACUAAUUUAUCUUUUUAAAAUUGAUUUCCAUAUGCCUUGCGUUGUUAUAAUGCAGCACACUUGUACUGCAUGGUUUAAAGGUUCUGCAAGACAGUCUUUGCCUCAGCCUACAGGAAAUGGCACUCUGACUCCAGGUUUUGAGUUGGUCAAUAUGAGCAGUUUCAGUCAUUUCCACUUACUGACUUUAUCUGGACUAAUGUGGAAAAUAGUGGUAAGACAACAUGGAUGGAUAAAGUUGACAAAUAAUUUUAUUUGUUUAAACUUUGUCACUUAUUAUAUCCUUGAAGUUACUAGUAAGAGGUCAAGAUGACUCCAAAUCCCUUGUGUCAAUACUAGAUUUACUGAAUCAGAAUCACUGGGAUGGAUCCCAAAAUGUGCAUUAAGACAUGACUGAGGUGAUACUAAUGCAUGCUAAGUUUUGAAAAAUAUUGCUCAAAUGAAUUUACUUUUCCCAAGUCAUUCAAUUGCUUUCUAUUCUAAUAUAAAAUUGUGAAUUCUUGUGCUUUCCCAUAUCAAUGUGAAUCUAGUUUUCUAAGCCUGACUGAACAUUUUUCUUGACUGAGGAAAGCAUACCAAAAGACAACUAUACAUAAAAUGCUCAGGUUGCUUCCUGACAGACUGUUGUUUAUAGAUUUUAUUCCCCAUUAACUCUUUCAAGAGGCAUAUCUGAAAACAGUCUUAAGGCAGCUGGGUUAGUUACUUGUUAGUUGUACCCAUGAAUAUAACGACUGAAAAGCUGGAUGUGGGGAGAGAGGCAGGAAGUAAUUUAUGAUGUAUCAGGCACUAUGUCCUCCUUGUCUCAUUUUUAAAGCAUUUUAGCAGAGAAGUAUAACCACUAUUUUAAAGAAAGGAAAAUAAGGCUCAUAGUAAUUAAAUAACUUGCCAAGACUCACACAGUGGAGCUGGAGAUUCAGAUUUAGAUUUGUUAGGCUCUAAGGAUGUGCUCCUACCCCCGAUAGCACAUUUUCAAAAGUGAGAAGAGAUUAUAAUCAAUAUAACAAGGCUUAUAUAUUUUAAUGGGGGGUGUUGAACACAGCAGAAAAAGUAUUUGCCUUUCUAUUUCCAAAUAGAAAAAUUAUCUUACACUGUGUAGAGACUUCCUUCAAUAUCCUAAACCAGCAGCCUAAUGGAAAAAAACACCCAAUAUUUUCUUUAAGUUUUAUACAUGGUUUCCUAAAAGGAGUAGACAUUUGAAAAAAAAAUUCUUCAAAACAUAAAUACCCCUGAAUAUUGAUGUCAUAUUUUUAUUUCCAAUCACCUCAGUUCUUUAUAAAUUUACAGCCAAAAUAUGAUAAAGAAAUAUCAAUAAUAUAACCUUCAACUGGCCAAAAAAAAAAAAGAGGGGAGGUUGCAAAUUUUAGCCAAAACUAUAUGGAUAAAUGAUCAAUAAAGUCACCAACUGCAAAUGACAAAGUGGAGAAAAACACCAAUAAUCUACAGUCACAAACUGUAACUGGCAAUGAUAUGACUUGGGCUACAGAACAUUUCUUGUGAAUUAUUUUAAAUGGCAAUACUCCUUAUAGGAGUAUUGUAACUUACACAGAUGAUAUGGGAUCUGGAAGCAUACUACAUCAAAGGAGGCUGAAAGAUAACCUUUAUAACAAGGCAGACUCUACGUGUCCUACUCAGAAUGUAAUAUGUAGUUUAAAUAUAAAAUAAAUAUCAUUUCCUUGUUUCAUUACUAUGUGGAGAUGGACAAAUAAAAUUAUUUGUUGAAAUUUAUUUUUAAACUCACAUCUUGAAAAACAUCUUCCUCAGUCUCAGCUAUUCACAAAUGAUUCUUAGUCUCUCGACUCCAUUAGUGCCUCAGGAGCUUUUUAUUAAACCUCUGAGUUAUCUCUUCUAUCUCUUCCUGAACUCCACAAGUGCAAGUAAUCUCAUUGGUUUAACUACAUUAGCAUUUUACUCCAUCACAGGAUCUGAACAUGUAGCAUCCAUGAAAAACAUACUUCCAUAAUACAUAUAGCAUUCAAGAGCCAGUAAAGCACUCUCUAAGUCACGCCUCCUACUAAAAAUGGUCACAUCUAUAACUGUGAUAAAAAUUAGGCUAUAAGUUUAAAACAAUAAAUUCAGCAAAGAAAGAAAUUCUAGCACCCUGGAUCUAAUAUCAUUGUGUCUUCUCAUUCUGGCACCAUUACCACCAUACAGAAAUGUUAUCUGAAAUAUGUAGAAUAAUUCUGAUUGUGGACAACAAAGAUGCUCCUGUUAUGUGGGUUGAAGAUGUGGUGAAAGGCAACAAAGAAGACAAAAAUUACACAUACCAAGAUCCAUAAAUACAAUGCCCUAAACAGUCUGAUGAAAAUGUGGUGAAAGAUUGGUCACCGCUGUUUUUCUGUUCUAUCAUAAGGCAAUUAUCAGAGUGGAAUGACCACCAUAGUGGGGAGCUGGAAAUAUUAUCUUUAAAGUCCUCGCUACAGGUCUUAUUUUAUAUAAAUUUAUAAAAUAGGAAAAAUAUUGCCUUGAGGCAAAAGCCCGAAAGCCCACACCAGCUCUAGUCUGACUACACUUAACACCAGAGAGGUCUAGGGAAAGACGCUGAACAUCUCUGAACUUACAUGCUAUCUGGAGAAAAGCUUGAGAUCCUUGUGAUGUCAACAUUUUUUUGCCUUUGGAUGCGAUGGAAACUUAAGUUCAGUUAACGGACGUCCUUCAAAACUCCCUGCCAGUUUCCUCUUUAACAAACUUCAAACCUGAAUUUCUUGAGCCAACACUGGCUUUAACACACAGCUAUUUAACAAUGAACCCUUGUUACACUUCAUCAUUUUGUGGAAGAAUUACAUAAUUGGGGUUGUAGCCCUUAUCAGCUUUUCCCUUGCCUUUGGAUCAAGUUACGGGAUAAAACAUGUGAACUUGAUAUGGCACAUUGGUACUACCACAGGUGGAUUGGAAGAAGAGUUUCUAACAUACAAACAUUUUAUGUAAUAUAAAACUGAAAUGUAGUUUAGGGCCACUUCUUUUUAACUUAAUAAUCUGAUAUAAUUUUCAGAUAACUGCAUGCUUUCCUGCCACUGAUAAUAUAAAUAUUAUUGUCUGUAAUGAAAACAUGGUUUUGUUGUCAUAUACUUUCGCUUUCUGAGGACAGAGUUCAGACAACUGAUUGUGUUCUGUAAUUACCACAAAGAAUGACUAUUUAUUUUCAGAAAGAACGGCUUAGUGCCAAGCACUUUAAGACAACAUAACAACUAACACUUACUGAAUGUUUACUUUUCUAAGCAUUUUAUGUGUAUUCAUUCAUUCAGUCAACAUUAAUAUGAAAAACAAUUAAUAAUAAUCCUAUGAAGUAGAUACUAUUGUUUUUCCCUGAGGAAGAUAAGAAACUGAUGCACAGAGCAAUUAUAUAACAUAUAGCUAGUAAAUUGUGCAACAAGGAUUCAAAUCCAGUUGACCGAUCUAUUGAAAAACUGACCCCUCUAACUGCUCAUUUAAGGACCACUCUAUGGACCCCAAUGUUAAGUUCAAAAUUCUACCUAUUUAAGGCUAUCACUGAGACAUUUUUUUUUCAAUAUAAUUGAUGUGUUUAUUACAUACCUAAUAUAUGCCCAUUGGAAGGUAAGAAAAUUUUAGAGAUACAUGAGUGUAUGAUAUAGUCCCUUGUCCCCAAUGGACUUACAGUCUUAGCAAAGAGAAAAGACAUCCAUAUUCAACAGAAAUAAAAUUCAAGAACUAAGUUUAAUACCUGCAAUUGUAAACAGCAGUUAGGAGAAGAUAAAAUCAAAGUUAAUAAGGUUGUUGGGAAUAUCUCAAGGCAAAAGUGAUAAAUGACAUAGAACUUAAAACUAGCAGUAUUCAGAUGGGCCAGACAAAGAUGGGAGGGCAGUGAAGGGAGAAUAUUAUAUUUUUAUUUACUGACAUCUAUUAUUCCAAUAGGAUUUGUUAGAUUCAUGCUUCUCUGGAAGAAAAAGACCAGGCUCAAUUUUUGUCCUGAUUGCCUAAAAGUUCAGAGCCAAAUUUUACUCUCACCACAGUAAAUCUCUUGGCUUUUCUAGGCAGGCAUAAAUAUUUCCCAAAUUUUUCUGAACUCUGAUUCUCUUUACAUUUCUAUUUUAUCUUAUUUGGGGUGGGGGAAAAGCAUAUUAAUCCUUUGUUUAAAAUGUUAUGUCAGUUUCAAUAAAAUGUUCAUAAACCAUUUUGAAGACAGAUCCAGGAAAUGGUAUUAAUUUCAAAUAAUUAUGUGAAUUACAUCAAACAACUUUUUAAAAGCUAGUAAUUGUAACAUCCUCCGUCAAACUACUGUUUGGCACAAAUGAAAACACAUCCUUUAGCUUGAUUGACUUUCUUUUUUUCAACUUUUUUAGUCUUUAUGUCAGUACUGGUGAAUAUUAACCAGAAUUUUUAUUUCAAAGAGUAAAAAUAAAAAUCAUUUUUGAUUGCUAUAUUUUACAAACAAACUACAGUAGAAUAUUAUUAAAGACCAUGAUCAAAAUCAUUUAGUUGAUAGUGAGACAGCCAGGUGUGAGGGGUCCCUGACAAAACUCCAACCAGUCUGCACACUGGGAAUGUGCACUUGGGUGGACUCACACACAGGUUCUAGUCCAUUUGCAGCAAGGAAGAGCCUGCCCCCUCCUCUUCCUGUGUGGAACCUGGGAUUCAAGUGGCUAAGCAGGAAGUGCUCUAGCAGGGACUCUGCCCUUGCGGAGAGUCCCUGUUUCCCCCUUUUCUUUCUUUUCAACCAAUAAAACGCUGUCUUACUCACCAUUCAAAUUGUCUGUGAACCUGAAUUUUCGUGGCCAUGGGACAAGAGGCCUAUCUUUAGCUGAAAUAAGGAAAAGUCCUGCAACAAUAGCAAACAGACCAGUACUAGAAUGUACAUUUACUUAGAAUUAUUUUUCACUAGAGUGAAGUAUUUUUAGUUUAUGAAUGCACUGACAUUUAGGAAUAUGCAGAAAUAUUUCUGCCUUAAAAGUACAAAUAAUUGUCAGUAAAGUUGUCAUUUAAAAAAUAUAGUCAAAUAUAUAUAUUUAUAAUCUGAAACAUGAUGCAUAAGAAGCUACUUUAGUUUUUUGAAUUUUUCAAGUGGAGAAAUAUUCUCUUCAUCAAACUCUGCUCAUCACUUGGACUAUUAAUUUACGGUUAUCUCUGUGUUUAUUUGGGAGGUACAAUUUUCAUUCAUGGGUAUUUGUUCAAUGUGUCUUGUCUUCUCUAUAUUUUACAUUUAAUAUACAUUUAAUUUAAUAUGAUAUUUUGAUAUUUUUAAUUCUAAUCAAUAAAAUAAGCAUUUAUUCAUUUGUAUUACGGUAUUCCAGUUACUGUGAUGUGAGACACAGUGAUCGAUGCUUAUAGUGAAUAAGUUAUUGUGACUCAAUGUGAUAUUUCUAAAAAUGAAGUCUGCACAUGAUACUGUGAAAUGAUCGGGUUUACUGCAAAUCAGAAAAGGCAUCACAGAGUAAAUGCUAUUUGAGAAACUUUAGGUUUGCCAUUUAUAAAACCCAGGUCUGUCCUACAGGCUCCACAUCCAGCUCCUAACUAAAAUUUAGAAGUCUUUAGAUGUCUGUGGGUAUUAUCAUCCAGAAAACUAGGACUCUAAUAGUUUCUGAGUCUAGUAUUCUCCCCAUAUAGCUACUCAGUUUUUUCUAGUCUAUAUGUCAAAUAAAAUUUUGAAAAAAUUACCCCUUCCCACAAUCUUUUCAAAUUAAUCCUCAGAUGAAAAGGAUUUAAUUUAGCUAUUCCAUGAUAAAUAAAAAAUAUGCAAUUUUAUUGAAUAAACUUAGAGUAAUUAAUAAAUAAAUGUAAUGUACGGUCAGAAGUUUUCUGUUUUGUUUCAUUUGUAAAAUGUCCAUUAAAAUGCUACCUAUGUGGGUUAAAAAGCCUAUAAGACAAUUCCAACUUCAGGAAUAUGUGAAAACAUGUAGAAAGGGUAUAUUGUGUAAUUUAAAUUUUUAUCAUCUACAGGUUAUGGCAUAAGACUGAUAUGAAAAUGAAUGAGAAUUAGGUUUCAUGUAGACUCUUUUGUCUUUUGUUCUAUUACUAUAAAAUGUUUCAUUUAAAAGUAGGGAAAAAUUAGUAAGAUGGUGAAUUUGCCUGAUAUACCAAUAAGCACAGUUGUUUUGGAAGUUGCUUGGUACCAUUGACUCUUUGCAUCUUUAAAUAUGUAUUUCUUUCCUUAACACUUCUCUUUAUGAGAAUACCAUUACUCUCAAAGGAUUCCAAUGUUUAUUUUGUGCUCAUGGCACUUUUUUAUUUAAAUUUUCAAGAAUGCACUUCGCAUUAAGAUGAACCAAAAUAGUAUUAGUGAAUUCAGCAACCAGUUUAAGGCAUAGUUCUCUGAUCUUCCUACUUAAGAAAAUGAAGGCUGGGCAUGGUGGCUCAUGCCCGUAAUCCCAGCACUUUGGGAGUCGGAGGCAGGCAGAUCAUGAGGUUAAGAGAUCCAGACCAUCCUGGCCAACAUGGUGAAAACCUGUCUCUACUAAAAAUACAAAAAUUAGCCGGGCAUGGUGGCGGGUGCCUAUAGUCCCAGUUACUGGGGAGGCUGAGGCAGGAGAAUGGCGUGAACCCAGGAGGCAGAGCUUGCAGUGAGCCGAGAUCGCACCACUGCACUCCAGCCUGGGUGACAGAGUGAGACUCUGUCUCAAAAAAAAAGACAAAGAAAGAAAGAAAAUGAAUGUAUUUUAAUUUUAGAAUUUCAGAACAUAUCAGUAUUAACUCGAAGAAAGUCAUCAUGAAUAAUGCUAUUUUAAUGAAUGCCAAGGGAAUUGUGCCUAAUAUUCUAAAAUACUCUUGAGGAUUAUGAAGAGUGUGCAGUAUGGCAAAGGCAGCCAUGAGAAUACCCAAUAUAUAAAAUGUAUACUAUAUACAAAUAAUUAUUUCUCAAAAAUAUAAAUUUUCACUCUAGAUAGUUUUCUACAGGGUGGUACAUGCUAUGUGGUAGUAAAUGAGCCUGUAAAAACUGAACUCAUUAGACCACAACUACUUCUAUUAAAUAUCCAAAACAUCCUCAAUGUGAAUGUUUUGAAUUUAUCUUUUAUAUGUGAAGAGUCUAUAAUUUGUUAGUGACUAUAAAUUAAACCUUUAGAUUUUUUAAGUUUCACAAUUGUUCUGUAUUCCAAUUAAGAGGCUCAAAAUCUAGUCUGGGAAACUCCACUUGGUUUACAAAAAAAAAAAAUCAAUAUGCUUUUUAUUUCAUGGGGCUCUGGGACUGUUAAGAUUAGCAUGAAAUACUGACAUUUACACUCCUGAGUGGACUACAAGGGGAGCAGGAUGGAAUGAUGAUGGCAAGUAAUUGGACAAUUGGACAGUCUCCAGAAAGGCUUGAAAAAUACUAUUAAAUCUCCAUCUGCUGAUUGAAAAUUCCAGGUUCAUAAGGUAUAACAAUAGCUGAAACACAAACCUUAGAUGAUCUCUACCUUUCUUUCCAGGUUUGUACCCCACCUACUUUGCAAGAACCUGUGACGAUUUUUUCGUUAAAACAUCUGCAUAAUUAAACAUUUUAGGCUAAUGAUGACAAGACAACAGGCCAUAUUUUAUUACUUUUGUUGAACUGCCCAGUGUAUAUCACAUUUGCUAUAAUUACUCAAAAACUCCUGCCUUGAAAAUAUGUUAUAAUUUUUUAAAAAAGAAAAUAAGGAAAAGGGAAGAAAUAGAUGAAAAAUUAAAUUAGGGUCUUACACUUAUAAUGAGAUAGUUCUAAGGAGGGAAGACUUAACCUAAGUAAGUUUUCAUUCCUUUGAAUUAGUGGAAUAAAUACAUCUUAAAUUUCUCCAUUCCAUUAGGACAGAUCACAGGCAAACUUGCUGAGGGAGUAAGUGAAGAACAGUUAUAGUUUCAGGGUCCUAAAUCAACCACAGGGAGAAUAAUAUAUUACUCUGCUUAUUUUACCCUUCCUCUCCUCUUCACGUUUAUGUCUUCUUCAGUAUUUCCUUCUCAGUUUGAGUUUUAUAUAGCAUAUGACAUACACAUAUGUGCCAACACAAUGUGAGUGAUAAGACUAGAAGAGGAAAAGCUUACAUUAAUUUAUCUUGAAAAAUGAAAUGUCCAAUUAUACAAUAUUAUAGAGUGCUAAUAGCUCACCAAAUAACAUAAAUAAGAUUACAUUUCACUCAGUGCCAGACCUGACAAUCAAACCUAGAUUCCAAAGUAAGUCUUUCUUUUUUUCAAUAGAUUGAAUAUACUAGAGGUUAAGAAAAUUCACAUAAGGCCUAAACUCCUCUUUUAAAAAAUCCUUUGACAUUUCUCAUAAAAACAGCUCUUUGCCUGUGGCUCAAUUUAGGACCUUCACAAAUCCCUUGAAUAAUGAAGGUCUUGGUUUUAAAUGACUGUUUAUGUGUGGCAUUCUAUGAAAGGUCCAGAAGUUUGUUAGGGACAAUUGCUAAAAAAUUAAAAUAUCUCAAGAUUAUUUUCAUUAAACCAAUAUGUGUUAGAAAGUUAUCUAUUGGAGUAUAUUCCAUAUACUUAACAUAAUAUUAUUAUAAUAGAUGGCAAGAUAAAAAGAAAUCCUCUACAGGAUAUUCCCAUUUCUCUCCAGAGUCAUGGUAUCACAGACAACACACCAGUCUCCCCAGGAUACCACUAUAAUUUAAUACAUGCAAAGUAUCAAUCUAAUUUACCUGUCACUGAUUAGGAAAUUCCAAUAGUAAGUUUCUCACCACAGCAAAUCCUGAAGAACUAGUAUUUAAGCUAUUUCAUUAUGAAGUGAAAAAAAUCAUUUAGAAAUAAAAGUACCAGUUAGUAACAAAUUAUGUACAAGUCACUCUAGCACAGUGUAUUUCAAUCACUUCAGUAUUUUUAGCCUCCCAAAAAAAGUGUCAGAAACGAGGCAUGAAAAGCUAUUAAAUGAAUCAUUCACAUGUUGAAUAGAUGUUGCCAUCAGUUUGUUCUCUCAAUGGAAAUAAUGAACAACUGAUUUAUUUAUAACUGGUCAUGAUGAUAAUACACCUUCAUGUUCCACCCUUUUCAAUAUAUUAUGGUUAUGUUAUAACUGUCUUAUUUUAUACUUGAUCUAAAAUCAUAUGCUUCCAUAAAAAUGUCUUCUUUUCCAGGCUUUCCCUUAACUUUAAUGUUCCUUUGGCUUGGGGUGUAAUUAAAAUGUUUUUACUGA